GAAAUAAAAAAAUUGGUUUUCUUUAUCAUUUUAGGAGAGGGCUCAUUAUUUGGGUAUUUUUAUAUACCUGACAUUCCCAUGGUCACAACAGAGCAGUUAUUAGGGGAGAAAAUGCCACAAAUGGAAAAAUAAAAUUUGUCAGUAUAUGGAAUCAUGUUGCUUGCCAUGAACAUCUCAAGAGAAAAUGAAAAGAAUGGCAUGAUCAGAAGUUGAGCAGUGUACAUCCUGCACAGCCAAAUGCAACAGGUCUUUUCCAGAGUCUGCUGCCACUCGGGGUCCCCAAUCCCUGGGAUGCAAACCAGGGGCCAUAAGCCAGGUCCAUGGUGUGUUAGGAACCAGGCUACGCAGCAGAAGGAUCCGUCCUUCUGCACAACCCAUGCUGUCAACCAGGAGCUAUUCUGUCCCCACCGACUCAACGAGGCAGCAACCAGUUCUGUACAUGAAGAUUCCAAGGGAUCCCAAAUGGCACGUGUUAGAACAGACACUAUCCAAGAAGGAAAGGACAUAUCUGUCAACCAUGCUACAAGUGUCAUGCCACCAUGGAAGUUGAUUGCUAGAUACUGAGCUGGCAUACACCACACACACACACACACACACACACACACACACACACACACGCUGAAGCAUCCUCAGAAUUCCUGCAACUCCAAGGUUCAAACGUCCAAGAAGAAUACUGUGGGGUGAGGACUGUGUGCUUGGCCAGGCUCUUUGGAGCCUACUUGGUGUCUCUGAAGGACUGGAAAUAGAAUUUGCUUUCAGUUAAAGGAGCCCUAAUACCAGUCUCUGCCAGAAUGCCAGAAGUUACAAAUCCUCAUGCCCUGUCCACCCUCUCUCCAGUGGAGACUCUUUGUGUGUGUGUGUGUGUGUGUGUGUGUGUGUGUGUGUUUUCCUGUUCAGUGUUUUUUCUUUUUCUUUUUUUUAUUAUACUUUAAGUUUUAG
rnacentral:lncRNA from 1 species